rnacentral:rRNA from 1 species
UACGUAGGGUGCAAGCGUUAAUCGGAAUUACUGGGCGUAAAGCGUGCGCAGGCGGUUCGGAAAGAAAGAUGUGAAAUCCCAGGGCUUAACCUUGGAACUGCAUUUUUAACUACCGGGCUAGAGUGUGUCAGAGGGGGGUGGAAUUCCGCGUGUAGCAGUGAAAUGCGUAGAUAUGCGGAGGAACACCGAUGGCGAAGGCAGCCCCCUGGGAUAACACUGACGCUCAUGCACGAAAGCGUGGGGAGCAAACAGG